rnacentral:sRNA from 1 species
CUAAGAAGAAAUAGAUCAAUUGUUGUGGAUUUGUUCCAUGGGCAGCUAAGAUCUCAAGUAAAAUGCAAGACAUGUGGGCAUAUAAGUGUCCGAUUUGACCCUUUCAAUUUUUUGUCUUUGCCACUACCAAUGGACAGUUAUAUGCACUUAGAAAUAACAGUGAUUAAGUUAGAUGGUACUACCCCUGUACGGUAUGGACUAAGACUGAAUAUGGAUGAAAAGUACACAGGUUUAAAAAAACAGCUGAGUGAUCUCUGUGGACUUAAUUCAGAACAAAUCCUUCUAGCAGAAGUACAUGGUUCCAACAUAAAGGUAAUAUUAACUACUCUAAGAAACUUUUGAUUCUAUCCUCCAAAGAUGACAUUUUUCUCAAUUAUUAUGAUCAAUUGUUAGGUUAUGUGACCAAGAGAGAUACUAAAACAUAACGAAAACUGAACAACAACAACAAAAAAUGCCAAGUUUUCCAACCCAGAAACUUAAGAGUUUUCUACCAGAAUAAAGGGAUAAUACUGAUGGUGGUAUUUUUGAAGAAGGGAAACAUGUAAGGCUGCCUAUAUGGAGUGUUCUAGCUGUGUCACUGUAGUAUAGGUUUCCACCAAAGACUGCUGCUGUUACCAAAGACUGCUGCUAUUACCCUUGACA